rnacentral:rRNA from 1 species
CCUACGGGAGGCAGCAGUGAGGAAUAUUGGUCAAUGGGAGAGAUCCUGAACCAGCCAAGCCGCGUGAGGGAAGACGGCCCUAUGGGUUGUAAACCUCUUUUGUCGGAGAACAAAACCCGGGACGUGUCCCGGACUGCGUGUAUCCGAAGAAAAAGCAUCGGCAAACUCCGUGACCGGGGCCGAGGUAAUUCGGAGGAUGCGAGCGUUAUCCGGAUUUAUUGGGUUAAAGGGGGGCGUAGGCGAUCCGUUAAGUCAGCGGUAAAACUGCGGGGCUAAACCCCGUCGAGCCGUUGAAACUGGCAGACUUGAGUUGGCGAGAAGGACGCGGAAUGCGCGGUGUAGCGGUGAAAUGCAUAGAUAUCGCGAAGAACUCCGAUUGCGAAGGCAGCGUACCGGCGCCAGACUGACGCUGAGGCACGAAAGCGUGGGGAGCAAAUAGGAUUAGAUACCCCGGUAGUC